rnacentral:rRNA from 1 species
GAUGAACGCUGGCGGCGUGCCUAACACAUGCAAGUCGAGCGAUUCUCUUCGGAGAAGAGCGGCGGACGGGUGAGUAACGCGUGGGUAACCUGCCCUGUACACACGGAUAACAUACCGAAAGGUAUGCUAAUACGAGAUAAUAUGCUUUUAUCGCAUGGUAGAAGUAUCAAAGCUUUUGCGGUACAGGAUGGACCCGCGUCUGAUUAGCUAGUUGGUAAGGUAACGGCUUACCAAGGCGACGAUCAGUAGCCGACCUGAGAGGGUGAUCGGCCACAUUGGAACUGAGACACGGUCCAAACUCCUACGGGAGGCAGCAGUGGGGAACAUUGCACAAUGGGCGAAAGCCUGAUGCAGCAACGCCGCGUGAGCGAUGAAGGCCUUCGGGUCGUAAAGCUCUGUCCUCAAGGAAGAUAAUGACGGUACUUGAGGAGGAAGCCCCGGCUAACUACGUGCCGGCCGCCGCGGUAA